CCUUCGGGCGGCAGCAGUGGGGAAUAUUGCACAAUGGGGGAAACCCUGAUGCAGCGACGCCGCGUGAAGGAAGAAGUAUUUCGGUAUGUAAACUUCUAUCAGCAGGGAAGAAAAUGACGGUACCUGAAUAAGAAGCCCCGGCCAACUACGUGCCAGCAGCCGCGGUAAAAAGUAGGGGGCAAGCGUUAUCCGGAUUUACUGGGUGUAAAGGGAGCGUAGGCGGUGCAGCAAGUCAGAAGUGAAAGCCCUGGGGCCAACUCCGGGACUGCUUUUGAAACUGUUUAACUAGAUUGCAGGAGAGGUAAGUGGAAUUCGUGGUGUAGCGGUGAAAUGCGUAGAGAGUAGGAGGAACACCAGUGGCGAAGGCGGCUUACUGGACUGUAAAUGACGCUGAGGCUCGAAAGCGUGGGGAGCAAACAGGAUUAGAUACCCCUGUAGCC
rnacentral:rRNA from 1 species